GAUGAACGCUGGCGGCGUGCCUAAUACAUGCAAGUCGAGCGAACAGACGAGGAGCUUGCUCCUUUGACGUUAGCGGCGGACGGGUGAGUAACACGUAGGUAACCUACCUAUAAGACUGGGAUAACUUCGGGAAACCGGAGCUAAUACCGGAUAAUAUUUCGAACCGCAUGGUUCGAUAGUGAAAGAUGGCUUUGCUAUCACUUAUAGAUGGACCUGCGCCGUAUUAGCUAGUUGGUAAGGUAACGGCUUACCAAGGCAACGAUACGUAGCCGACCUGAGAGGGUGAUCGGCCACACUGUAACUGGGACACGGUCCAGACUCCUACGGGAGGCAGCAGUAGGGAAUCUUCCGCAAUGGGCGAAAGCCUGACGGAGCAACGCCGCGUGAGUGAUGAAGGUCUUCGGAUCGUAAAACUCUGUUAUUAGGGAAGAACAAACGUGUAAGUAACUGUGCACGUCUUGACGGUACCUAAUCAGAAAGCCACGGCUAACUACGUG
rnacentral:rRNA from 1 species